rnacentral:pre_miRNA from 1 species
UUACGAGGCAUGAGCAGCCGGACCAUGGGAUAUUCAGGCACUCCUGGUGUUUCACAUUCCUAAUGGCCUCUACUGUAGCUGCCAUGUAA